rnacentral:rRNA from 1 species
AGUGAACGCUGGCGGUAGGCCUAACACAUGCAAGUCGAACGGCAGCACAGUAAGAGCUUGCUCUUACGGUUGGCGAGUGGCGGACGGGUGAGGAAUACAUCGGAAUCUACUUUUUCGUGGGGGAUAACGUAGGGAAACUUACGCUAAUACCGCAUACGACCUACGGGUGAAAGCAGGGGAUCUUCGGACCUUGCCCGAUUGAAUGAGCCGAUGUCGGAUUAGCUAGUUGGCUGGGUAAAGGCCCACCAAGGCGACGAUCCGUAGCUGGUCUGAGAGGAUGAUCAGCCACACUGGAACUGAGACACGGUCCAGACUCCUACGGGAGGCAGCAGUGGGGAAUAUUGGACAAUGGGCGCAAGCCUGAUCCAGCCAUACCGCGUGGGUGAAGAAGGCCUUCGGGUUGUAAAGCCCUUUUGUUGGGAAAGAAAAGCAGCAGGUUAAUACCCCGCUGUUCUGACGGUACCCAAAGAAUAAGCAACGGCUAACUUCGUG